AACGAACGCUGGCGGCGCGCCUAAUACAUGCAAGUCGAGCGAGAAGACGUAGCAAUACGUUUGUAAAGCGGCGAACAGGUGAGGAAUACAUGGGUAACCUACCCUCGAGUGGGGAAUAACUAGCCGAAAGGUUAGCUAAUACCGCGUACGCUCCUUGGACUUCGGUUCAGGGAGGAAAGCGAUACCAUGGGUAUCGCGCUCUUGGAUGGGCUCAUGUCCUAUCAGCUUGUUGGUGAGGUAACGGCUCACCAAGGCUUCGACGGGUAGCUGGUCUGAGAGGACGAUCAGCCACACUGGCACUGCGACACGGGGCCAGACUCCUACGGGAGGCAGCAGUGGGGAAUCUUGCGCAAUGCGCGAAAGCGUGACGCAGCAACGCCGCGUGGGGGAAGAAGGCCU
rnacentral:rRNA from 1 species